rnacentral:lncRNA from 1 species
GCUGAAGCCCUGAUUUUGCUCAGUUGAGUGUUCUCUGCUCUGUGCUUUCCACGGUUUCUUGUAAUUGUGCAGGGCAUAUACUUGAAGACAGGGUCCUUGUUCCAUAGGGUUUAGUCGUCUUCUGCUUCUUACAAAGUUUUCAAGAGGUCUUGUACUUUGGCAGCAGGUCUGUGAAGAGAAAAUUGUGUGUGUGUGACUUCUUGAGAAACUAUCUGAAGGACCCAGCCUUAACUUAUGGUGGAUCUCUGUCUUCGAUUCCUACUGUUUUGACCGAAGUUGCUGAAGCUUGCAUGCUGCUUCAUGCAGUCACACGUUCUGGGUCAUGAAACUUAAUCCACAGCAAGCACCAUUAUAUGUGAGUAAAAACACACACAUAUAUUUUAAACCUACACUUUCUGUUCUCUGGGGCAUAUUGAA